rnacentral:rRNA from 1 species
UACGGGGGGAGCAAGCGUUGUUCGGAUUUACUGGGCGUAAAGGGCGCGUAGGCGGCCAGCACAAGUCAGUUGUGAAAUCUCCGGGCUUAACUCGGAAAGGUCAACUGAUACUGUGCGGCUAGAGUGCAGAAGGGGCAACUGGAAUUCUCGGUGUAGCGGUGAAAUGCGUAGAUAUCGAGAGGAACACCUGCGGCGAAGGCGGGUUGCUGGGCUGACACUGACGCUGAUGUGCGAAAGCUAGGGGAGCGAACGGG